rnacentral:rRNA from 1 species
UACGGGGGGGGCAAGCGUUGUUCGGAAUUACUGGGCGUAAAGGGUUCGUAGGUGGCGUGCUAAGUCAGACGUGAAAUCCCUCAGCUUAACUGGGGAACUGCGUCUGAGACUGGCAGGCUCGAGUGCAGGAGAGGAACGCGGAAUUCCAGGUGUAGCGGUGAAAUGCGUAGAUAUCGUAAGGAAGACCAGUGGCGAAGGCGGGUCUCUGGACAGUUCCUGACGCUGAGGCACGAAGGUCAGGGGAGCAAACGGG